GAUGAACGCUGGCGGCGUGCCUAAUACAUGCAAGUCGAGCGAACAGACGAGGAGCUUGCUCCUCUGACGUUAGCGGCGGACGGGUGAGUAACACGUGGAUAACCUACCUAUAAGACUGGGAUAACCUCGGGAAACCGGAGCUAACACCGGAUAACAUGCUGAACCGCAUGGUUUAACAGUGAAAGACGGUCUUGCUGUCACUUAUAGAUGCAUCUACGCGGCAUUAGCUGGUUGUUAAGGUAACGGGUUACCAAGGCAACGAUGCGUAGCCGACGGGAGAGGGGGAUCGGCGACACUGGAAGUGGAACAGGGACCAGGGUCCUGCGAGAGGCAGCAGUAGGGAAUCGUCCGCAGUGGGCGGAAGCCUGACGGAGCAGCGCCGCGUGAGUGGAAGAGGCCUUCGGAGCGUGAAACUCUGUUAUUAGGGGAAAACAAAUGUGUAAGUAGCUAUGCACGUAGUGACGGUAACUGGUCAGAAAGCAACGGCUAACUACGUG
rnacentral:rRNA from 1 species